GAUGAACGCUGGCGGCGUGCCUAAUACAUGCGAGUCGAGCGAACAGAUGAGGAGCUUGCUCCUCUGACGUUAGCGGCGGACGGGUGAGUAACACGUGGAUAACCUACCUAUAAGACUGGGAUAACUUCGGGAAACCGGAGCUAAUACCGGAUAAUAUAUUGAACCGCAUGGUUCAAUAGUGAAAGACGGUUUUGCUGUCACUUAUAGAUGGAUCCGCGCCGCAUUAGCUAGUUGGUAAGGUAACGGCUUACCAAGGCAACGAUGCGUAGCCGACCUGAGAGGGUGAUCGGCCACACUGGAACUGAGACACGGUCCAGACUCCUACGGGAGGCAGCAGUAGGGAAUCUUCCGCAAUGGGCGAAAGCCUGACGGAGCAACGCCGCGUGAGUGAUGAAGGUCUUCGGAUCGUAAAACUCUGUUAUUAGGGAAGAACAAAUGUGUAAGUAACUAUGCACGUCUGGACGGUACCUAAUCAGAAAGCCACGGCUAACUACGG
rnacentral:rRNA from 1 species